rnacentral:tRNA from 1 species
GCCUGGCUGGCUCACCCAGUAGAGCAUGUCACUCUUGAUCUCAGGGUUGUGAGUUCAAGCCCCACGUUGGGCG